rfam:Gossypium raimondii Chr07_contig_902, whole genome shotgun sequence.
AUCCCAUGAUGAGAACACUUACAAAGUAAUUCUUUGAAUAUCUCUCAUGCUUUGUACAAGGACUCGUCAUCCAAUUAUUGGAAAGCUGUGAUCUCAUUUUGCAAUU